CUGGGAGCUUUUUAGUAAUGUAAAAAUGUGGGUCCCCACUCCUCUAUCAAUCACUAUCUGCGCCUUAACCAGACCCCUAGGUGAUUCACAUGUACAUUUAACAUUUAGAACUCUGCUUUGUAAAGCUAUUAUUACAGUAAUGCCAACAAAGAGCUUGCAUUACUUCAACCUUAAAGCCUAAUGUGCCACCUUCUAAAGAUCCUGAUAUUGUCACAAUAGGCUAGUCAGCAUAGAACUGUUAGAAAAAAGUACAUACUUUGUGCAUUUUUCACUGAUCCAAGAAUGUUUUUAGUCAUUUCCUUUUCAGUGUGUGAACAGCCUAACAAUUCACUGGAGUUGAAAAGCUUUGUUAAAACAAAUUUGAAAUGGCUUAAAAACCAUUUAGUGGAUGGUAUCCACUAAAACUAGGUAUCCACUAAAACUAUGCCUUAAAAGUUACCUUUUAAAAAAGACAUGUUCAUCUUCACAAGGUCAAUUUUCAUGUAUUAAAUUGUGUAUAGUGCUUUAAAGAGCUAUAUUCCUCAAAAAUAAACUAUAUAAAAAAGA
ensembl:lncRNA novel transcript, antisense to RPS6